ACAAAACGACAGGGGAGCGCAGUAGCGCUGAGAGUGCGAUUCUCGCAGACCCUCGAACCUGAUCCGGGUUAUGCCGGCGAAGGGAGUCGAGAUCUCUCCCUC
rfam:Actinobaculum massiliae ACS-171-V-Col2 genomic scaffold supercont1.1, whole genome shotgun sequence.